UGUUAAAAAUUUCAUCUAUCUAUAUCGUUAAGUGUGACUAACGGAAUAACCAAACAAAAAUACAUGGUAUGUCGUGUGUUCUUCAUGUUGAUAUAUAGGGACUAGUUUUUAAUAAUAGAAUUAGAUGAAACUUUUAAUA
rfam:Gossypium raimondii Chr04_contig_1395, whole genome shotgun sequence.